rnacentral:rRNA from 1 species
UCUGGUUGAUCCUGCCAGAGGUCACUGCUAUCGGGGUUCGAUUAAGCCAUGCGAGUCGAGAGGGUUCGGCCCUCGGCGUACUGCUCAGUAACACGUGGAUAACCUGCCCUAAGGAAGGGGAUAACCCCGGGAAACUGGGGAUAAUACCCUAUAGACUACAGAUGCUGGAAUGCUCUGUAAUCGAAAGUUCCGACGCCUUAGGAUGGAUCUGCGGCCGAUUAGGUUGUUGUCGGGGUAAUGGCCCAACAAGCCAGUGAUCGGUACGGGUUGUGGGAGCAAGAGCCCGGAGUUGGAUUCUGAGACACGAAUCCAGGCCCUACGGGGCGCAGCAGGCGCGAAAACUUUACAAUGCGGGCAACCGUGAUAAGGGAACCUCGAGUGCCUGUAUAUGCAGGCUGUCCAGGUGUCUAAAACACACCUGAAGAAAGGGCCGGGCAAGACCGGUGCCAGCCGCCGCGGUAAUACCGGCGGCUCGAGUGGUGGCCACUUUUAUUGGGCUUAAAGCGUUCGUAGCUGGGUUGUUAAGUCUCUUGGGAAAUCUGGCGGCUUAACCGUCAGGCGUCUAAGGGAUACUGGCAAUCUUGGAACCGGGAGAGGUGAGGGGUACUUCGGGGGUAGGAGUGAAAUCCUGUAAUCCUCGAGGGACCACCUGUGGCGAAGGCGCCUCACCAGAACGGCUUCGACAGUGAGGGACGAAAGCUGGGGGAGCAAACCGGAUUAGAUACCCGGGUAGUCCCAGCCGUAAACGAUGUGCGUUAGGUGUAUCGGUGACCACGAGUCACCGAGGUGCCGAAGGGAAACCGUGAAACGUGCCGCCUGGGAAGUACGGUCGCAAGGCUGAAACUUAAAGGAAUUGGCGGGGGAGCACCACAACAGGUGGAGCCUGCGGUUUAAUUGGACUCAACGCCGGAAAUCUCACCGGAUAAGACAGCUGAAUGAUUGCCGGGCUGAAGACUCUGCAUGACUAGCUGAGAGGAGGUGCAUGGCCGUCGUCAGUUCGUACUGUGAAGCAUCCUGUUAAGUCAGGCAACGAGCGAGACCCACGCCCACAGUUGCCAGCGUACUCUCUGGAGUGACGGGUACACUGUGGGGACCGCCGCUGCUAAAGCGGAGGAAGGAAUGGGCAACGGUAGGUCAGUAUGCCCCGAAUAUCCCGGGCUACACGCGAGCUACAAUGGUUGGUACAAUGGGUAUCUACCCCGAAAGGGGACGGGAAUCUCCUAAAACCAAUCUUAGUUCGGAUUGAGGGCUGCAACUCGCCCUCAUGAAGCCGGAAUCGCUAGUAAUCGUGAAUCAGCUAUGUCACGGUGAAUACGUUCUCAGGUCUUGUACUCACCGCCCGUCACAUCAAGAGAGUCGGUAAUACCCGAAGCUCCUCUGUCUAAUAGGGGGAACCACGGUAGGAUCGGCAAUAAGGAUGAAGUCGUAACAAGGCAUCCGUAGCGGAAGCUGCGGAUG